rnacentral:misc_RNA from 1 species
CAAUGUAUUGUAACUUCUCUGAUACUGUUUUUUUUUUUAGGAAAAUUGUGAAGCUCAUAAAUCAAAACAAAGAACAGUAUCAGAGAAGUUACAAUACAUUGUAAACCAAAUUAGAUAAAAAUGAAAACAAAAAAAAAUCUGCGAACCUCUAAAGGAGACAGACUUCAUCACUAGCUGCCAUUUCAUGUAAAUGUUUCUUUUGACUGUGGUACUACUACAAUCUUAAGUGAAAUGUUGGGGAGGAGCAGCAGAAGCAGUCUGCAGCACUAACAUCAUACAUUGAUCCCAUAAUAUAUUAUAGAAUAAAUAUAUUUACAUGCUUAUCUCACUCUCUAAUUUUCCUUUUCCUUUUUUCCAAUCCAAAUUGCUCUUUCCUUUCCCAUAGAAUGCCCUGGCACGUUUGCAUCUCAAUGUUCCUUGAGAGAGAAUCCAAAAAAGAUACUAUGCCCAGACAAACACUGGCCUUUCUUGUACCAAAAGAAAAAGAGAUUUGUCAACUAUGCUAUUGCCCAGAUAAUGCAGAUAUAAUGCCAAUAUGGUUUUUUAUUCUCAUUUUUGUUCAUCAGCCCGCUUCAAUGCUUUAUCAUAGAGUUCAAUUGUAUCGAUAUGACCUGAAUCAAGACAAAGGGCAGCUUCACAAUCUCGUAGGGUGGAGAUAUUAUCACCCAUUGAGUCAUAAAAUGCAGCACGAAGAUGUAGCAACUGCAAAUCUGGCUUGAAAACUAUGGCCUUUGACAGCUCUGCUAUGGCCUCAGCUUCUUUGUGGUCAUCCAUUAAAACUGCUGCCCUGUAUCUGUAAGGGUAUGUUCUCAAGGGAUCAAGCAGGGUUGCCAUACUAAGAUCACUCUUUGCCAU